rnacentral:rRNA from 1 species
UACAGAGAGUGCAAACGUUGUUCGGAAUUACUGGGCUUGAAGCGCACGUAGGCGGCGUUGUAAGUGUCGGGUGAAAUCCCACGGCUCACCCGUGGAACUGCCCGGCAUACUGCGAUGCUAGAGUGUGGUAGGGGAGAGCGGAACUCCUGGUGGAGCGGUGAAAUGCGUAGAUAUCAGGAGGAACACCGAUGGCGAAGGCAGGUCUCUGGGCCACUACUGACGCUGAGAAGCGAAAGCAUGGGGAGCGAACAGG